rnacentral:rRNA from 1 species
UACAGAGGUGGCGAGCGUUGUUCGGAUUUACUGGGCUUAAAGGGUGCGUAGGUGGUCUAGUGUGUCGGAUGUGAAAUCCCACUGCUCAACGGUGGAACUGCAUUCGAAACUACUGGACUUGAGUGCAGGAGGGGAGAGCGGAAUUCUUGGUGUAGCGGUGAAAUGCGUUGAUAUCAAGAAGAACACCGGUGGCGAAGGCGGCUCUCUGGAAUGUAACUGACACUGAGGCACGAAAGCUAGGGGAG